rnacentral:rRNA from 1 species
AGUGAACGCUGGCGGUAGGCCUAACACAUGCAAGUCGAACGGCAGCACAGUAAGAGCUUGCUCUUACGGGUGGCGCGUGGCGGACGGGUGAGGAAUACAUCGGAAUCUACUUUUUCGUGGGGGCUAACGUAGGGAAACUUACGCUAAUACCGCAUACGUCCUACGGGUGAAAGCAGGGGAUCUUCUGACCUUGCGCGAUUGAAUGAGCCGAUGUCGGAUUAGCUAGUUGGCGGGGUAAAGGCCCACCAAGGCGACGAUCCGUAGCUGGUCUGAGAGGAUGAACAGCCAGACUGGAAGUGAGACACGGUCCAGACUCCGACGGGAGGCAGCAGUGGGGAAUAUUGGACAAUGGGGGCAAGCCUGAUACAGGAAUACCGCGUGGGUGAAGAAGGAGUUCGGGUUGGAAAGCGCUUUUGUUGGGAAAGAAAAGCAGCAGGUUAAUACCCGGCUGUUCUGACGGUACCCAAAGAAUAAGCACCGGCUAACUUCGUG